CGCUUGGUGGUCUUAUGCUAAGUAAAUUCUGCUCGGUGAAAAUGAUUUAACAGCAGCGGUAUCUUGACCGUUCAAAGGUAGCAUAAUAAGUUUAGUAAUUGUAAACCUGUCAAUGGGACCAUGGGUUUAUUUAAAUAAGAACUUAAUUAUUAUUGAAAUUAACUAAAAAGUAAAAACUCUUUUUCUUUUUUAAAAGACGAUAAGACCCUAGAACUUUUUAAAAAAUUUAGGUGGGGAAUCUUUGAUUAUUUAACAAUCAACAGUAAAAGUACUCUAGGGAUAACAGCUUCAUUUUAAAGAGCCUUUAAAGUUUGAGACCUCGAUGUUGAAUUAAGGACAUUGGUUUUUCAAAAGAAAGCUAAUUUAGGUCUGUUCGACCUUAGCCCCUU
rnacentral:rRNA from 1 species